AGCUUUGCACAGUGGCAGUAUCAUAGCCAAUGAGGUUUAUCCAAGGUGCGAGUAUUGCUAAUUUGAAACUUUCCAAUACCCCACCAUAACAACUUGAAAUGUAGUCAGCACUGGCGAUUUUUGACAGUCUCUACAGAGA
ensembl:snRNA U4 U4 spliceosomal RNA